rnacentral:rRNA from 1 species
UACGUAGGGUGCAAGCGUUAAUCGGAAUACUGGGCGUAAAGCGUGCGCAGGCGGUGAUGUAAGACAGAUGUGAAAUCCCCGGGCUCAACCUGGGAACUGCAUUUGUGACUGCAUCGCUGGAGUACGGCAGAGGGGGAUGGAAUUCCGCGUGUAGCAGUGAAAUGCGUAGAUAUCAGGAGGAACACCGAUGGCGAAGGCAGGUCUCUGGGCUGACACUGACGCUCAUGCACGAAAGCGUGGGGAGCAAACAGG